GUUGAUUUUUAGACUCGACAGAUGUUUGUUAGCAGUACCAUAAGCUAUGCUAAUAGUGCUGCUUAUUUAGCACCGCUACAUUACACAGAAUGUCAACAAUGUACCAGUCCUGUCUCACUGCUGCGGUGAGGAAUACAAAAUAAGACUGGGAAUGAAAAAUGGCAGAGGCAGCAACAACAAGGGGAAAACAAGAAGAUUCUGCUGAUCAUCUCUCCACAAGUAGGUCAUGGAAAUACCAGCAGAUCUUACAGCUCACAGAAGACAAGAAAUGUUCUUGUGAAGUAAGAAGAAUAUAUCCCGCCUGUCACACCUUUCCACAAGACGAAGACUAUUUUAGUUACUAAGGGAAAGAGUGAGAAUGUGAAACAUACUGGAGAAUGGAAGAUGACGACCUAUGAGUGUGAGGCCACUGCUCCUAUACAUCUCUGAAUGCACUGAGCAUGCGGAGACCGAUUCCAAACCAGAUGGUAUAAAACACUGGCAUAAAAUAAUCUGCUGUAUAUUGCAUGGAAUUUCAAUGCACAACAAGUGAACACAGGGUAUCCCAUAAAAAAAUUAGACGGGGGGGAUAUAACCAAAUUAUCUUAUUUUCUACAUUUUUAUGUAAACUUUUAUGCACAACUACUUUUCUUUUUAUGGCAAAAGAAUGAAAGGUUGUCACAACCUCUCCCAUUCCUAACUUAAAGAGUCCUGUAAUAAUCUGUGACAAUAAGGCAUAACUUCAUUUACCAUUGUAAAUUAAGAUCAGGAAGC